rfam:Canis lupus familiaris chromosome 1, whole genome shotgun sequence.
AGGAGGAACAGCCCCAGUGGCGGGGCCAGCUCUGGAGCCCUGGAGUCAGCCCCCGCAGGAACUCCGGAGCUCUCGGUCUGCAGGGCCUGGAGGCUCCGGGGCGGG